UGUGAAUCAGAAGCAGGCAGCAUUAUCUCCUGAAAAUCCCAGUAUCAUGACCUGCUGGAAUUUCAGUCCAACAUCGAGGUAUCAGAACAGAGAUGUGAAAAAACCCACAUCCAAAAUGGAGUCUGCAGCCUGACACAGACUCCUCUCCAUUGUGAAAAAUAAUGGGAUUAACAGCCAACCUAUCAGGCCGAAUUUAAAUCAUAAGAGGCUUAUUCACUGGAAUGGAAAAGUCUGGCAAGCAAUUUGUGUCAGCCUCGUUCAGCAUGUCAAUAGAAGACCUGUGCCUCACCAGAACUAAACACUGACAAACAGGCGGGAUCUGGAACCCCAGAUUUUAGGCUUGUGAGUUCCCUGAAGAUUUGAGGCUUGUGUCUUGAGCACAGCCAUUGCUAAUGCACAAGGAAUAGUGUCGGUGCAAUACAGGGGUUACUAUUCACAGCAUUGUAACACAGUACAUUCUGUAACGAUUAACUAGUAGGUAAGAAAGCAACUUUCUCAGCAGUAUUCACCAUUAGUGAAUACUGAUGAUUAGUCUAUAAGGAGCCACAGGAUUCUUUGCUGCUUUUACAGAUCCAGACUAACACGGCUACCCCUCUGAUACUUGACACCAUUAGAUGUGUCUGUUCGAACCAGUAAUAACUCAUCUGUGUACAGCAUGGCCAUACAGAAGCCAAUACAACAGCCAGACUUCUAGCUUUAGCUCAUUGCUCUGAGAAUGAGAAUUUUUCCUAGAGUUUAUGCAUUUGGUAGAGCUGUGCUACACUCAGUCUCCCAUUUGUUUUCUCUCUCUCCUUAUAUUUGUCAGGAUCAAUUUGCAUUCAGUGACAAUAUGAGGGUUCAGGCACCCCCUACAUAACAUCCGACCAAGGCACUGUAACAAAGGAGGCUAUGAAACAAUAUUUCCUGGGGGAGGACAGCACUCCAUUGUGGUUUUCUUUGUUUUCUUUUUUAGCUAGGUUUUCAUGGCCUAUCAACCCAGCUGGUUUGACUUCCAAGGUAAAUGGUAGGGCCAAGGAAGAGUUUUCCUAUUAGGCAAGUGCAUUUUUGUUUAGAGUCAAAUGGAGCACAAAUAUAAAACAGAGACAGAGAGCGAUUCUUUAUGGUUUUACAGGUAACAGUAACAAAUUCUCUCAUGCCCACUGAUAUGACCAUUAUUAUGACCUUGAAUCCCUUCACUAGUUCCCCAUGUGUGUAAUUACAAAAUAGACACCAACAGGAACAAUGUUGUAGUGUUAGAAAGUGUUUUUGGACAACAUGGAAGACUGUGAGGAGAGCCCUAUGCAGCACAGUUAUCCACACAGGUUUAACCAGCAAACCCACAACACCCCCCUACAAACAUAACAUCCGUACAUAUACUGUGUUGUAUAGAACUCUGGUAACAAAUUCUAAAGGUCUCCUGUGAUUGCUGGGAGCUUAAUCACAGGAGCAUGAGACUUUGGAAGAAGCAAAUUUAUGUUAUAAACCUAAGGAAAGAAAUAUUUUAACAUCAAAAAACAGCAUUUUUUUACUCCUAAAAUACAGUCCCUGAUUUACUGACAAAUAAGCCUAGAAAAGCAUACACCAAUAAACACCAUGGACUGUAAAUAUAAAUGAGAGAGAAUUCUAAAUGAGGCAUUUAUUUCUUCCAAGAACACAAAGGAAAAAUGAAGCAGCAUAUUUCCUCUCUUGAAAAGUAAUUCUAUUUGUUCUGGCACAUUCAUUUUUGUGUGUGUUUGUUUACAACUAAGGUAAUUUGCUGAAAAAGUAUGGGAUUGGGGCAGAUACAACUGGGUCAAAAUAUUAAUUUCUGCAACCCAAACUGAAUCUUUAAAACCAAAACAAUUGUAGCUCCUGGAAUAAGUGAGAGAAUAAAAGUGUGAGGACAAAAAAUAAUUUAGCACCUGAUUAGCAAACUCUGCUGUUUCUGUAAUGUAUAUUUGUUUAUUUACCUUAUCUCUUUGUUUUAUUUUACCCAAGUACACUAUCGUCAUACUAAUUUGGAGCAUGUCCAUUUUAGGUUUUAAAAGUGGGUCAGUGCACCCAGAAAAUUCACACCAAACUGCACUUCCUGAACACACACAGGCAGACUUGUCAAAAUAUUCUCAUCAGCUGAGUAAAUUUUUGCUGGGAGCAAAAACAACAGCCUGGAAAACACAAGUGCCCUGCAAGCUAUCAAUUAGCCUUUACAUUACAAUAAACUUGUGUCAAAGAGAAAUUACUUCCAUGUUGUGUAAAGAAAUAUUGCUCUGCUUGAACUUAGAGAAAGGUAUAGCUUAGAAAAAAUCUGUGGAGACAACUCCAAUCUCCUCUUUAGAAAGAGAAAUAUUCUUGGCUAUAUAAUCAGGAUAAUUGGCUCAUAUGAAAAAUUCAACAACAAACUAAGAUUUGCACUCCCCCACAAUGAAACAAACUGUACCUCUGAACAAAAGGUACCUGCAGCGAGACUCUCUUCUGCUUUUUCUGCUUCAGAACUGGGCUCUUGUUCAGAACAAUGCUACAGCAUAUGCUUAAUUUUAAAGCACAUAAGUAAGUCCCAUUGAAGUCAAUGGGACUUGACUAUGGGUUCCCUUCCCAGCCCUCUCUGAUCCCCUUUUGGGGUUAGUAGCACUGACAGCUGCACUGGCUAGGAGCAAUCCUUGCACCCAAACUUGCUCAAGGACUGCAGGAGUGGCCAGCCUUUGUGAGGGGGUGCAAAUUGACGGGAGGAGUCAGUCAGUCAGUAGACAGAUACUGGGCUUCAUGGACCUUUGGUCUGACCUGGUACAGCCAUUCUUAUGUUAUGUUCUUAUGAUGAGAUGAUGUGCACAACAAGUUUAUUGUCCUACAAAGUCCAGGAACAAAGCUGCAUGUUCUUGCACACUGGCACCUGAUCUAGUAACUAGCUUUGACCAUGUAUGCAGCUAUUAAUCACUGAUGUAGCAGGCAAAGAGAGUUUGCUAAAGCAAUCCAGACAACUACUUGCUGGGAAAGUUGGCUUUCCGUAGCUGCAGUGUGAAAACACCUACAUGUGCCUGAUGCAUCUUUGUGCCCGGUAAGAGUUAUGUUUGUCCAAAAAGAUGGAUGGAAGUUUUGGCUCUAACCAUCAGUUCUGGGGUUUCCCCCACCAAAUACAAGGGGAGUUUACACACUUUUCAGGAAUGCCAGAGGUUUCAUUCACUUUCUAGAAUAAACAGCACCUAGCUAGCUCCAGAGACCAUCAGCUGGGUAAGACCUCUCUGAUUGCUUCCAAUUCUUCACAUCUUUCAUCUGAUUCACCGCUCUGUUUGUCAUGUGCAGCACACUAGGGUUCAAUCUGGUUUUGUCACACCCAUUGCAUUGUACAAAGCAAAGAAUGGGUUACUCUCCUUCCAGCAGAUUUUACAGCUGUAACAGAGACCCUGAAGUAAUGAUGGUGGUUUGAUAGUUUGAUAAAUAAAUCCAAUAUAAUUCAUGCAAAUUACUAAUGCAGGUUAAAUAAAUUAUUCCUUUUUAUUUACCUGUUGAGGUAGAUAUGAGGAAAUCUCACUCAGCGGAAGUUGCAGCAUUCUGUGAUCUCUCUAAGUGAAAGUAAAGGCAUGUCACAUUCCAGUUUGUCUAGUGAGGCAUGCCGCAGUCCAGGUGAAAUGUCACAGCCAAAAAGCCAGCCUGGGAAAUGUCCCUAGUUUAACAGCAAGGCACACCACAUGCCUCUAAAUAAUGCAGGCCUAACUGUGAAAUGGUGCAAUCCAUAUUGAUUGGCUAUAUAGUACUACUGAGCUACAAGCCAUUUGUAAUUAAAAGAGCUUUAAAUAAGGUAGGAAGGGUGUGUGAAGUUUCUAAAAGGUAUAAUAUAUUUUCUGUUCAUGCUAUGUCUGUGGUGGCUUUGGGCUUGUAAUUUCGGCAAAAGAUUUUGAAUUUGUCACAUAAUUCUAAUCUUGCUAACUCUGCCAAAGUCUCCAGUAAAGAAGUGAAUUGGAAGUAGAAC